GGAGUUAGCCGGUGCUUCUUCUGUGAGUGAUGUCCUUCCUGCCGGCUAUUAACCCGCAGGCCUUCUUCCUCACUGAAAGUGCUUUACAACCCGAAGGCCUUCUUCACACACGCGGCAUGGCUGGAUCAGGGUUGCCCCCAUUGUCCAAUAUUCCCCACUGCUGCCUCCCGUAGGAGUCUGGGCCGUGUCUCAGUCCCAGUGUGGCUGAUCAUCCUCUCAGACCAGCUACGGAUCGUCGCCUUGGUGAGCCGUUACCUCACCAACCAGCUAAUCCGACAUAGGCUCAUCCGAUAGCGCGAGGCCCGAAGGUCCCCCGCUUUCCCCCGUAGGGCGUAUGCGGUAUUAGCCUGGGUUUCCCCAGGUUAUCCCCCACUACCGGGCAGAUUCCUAUGCAUUACUCACCCGUCCGCCGCUCGCCACCAGGGAGCAAGCUCCCCGUGCUGCCGCUCGACUUGCAUGUGUUAGGCCUGCCGCCAGCGUUCAAUCUGAGCCAUAGACUACAAACUCUAGA
rnacentral:rRNA from 1 species